AGUGAACGCUGGCGGCAGGCCUAACACAUGCAAGUCGAGCGGCAGCGCGGGGGCAACCCUGGCGGCGAGCGGCGGACGGGUGAGGAAUGCAUCGGAAUCUACCUCGUUGUGGGGGAUAACCUCGGGAAACCGGGACUAAUACCGCAUACGACCUACGGGUGAAAGUGGGGGACCUUCGGGCCUCACGCGAUGAGAUGAGCCGAUGCCGGAUUAGCUAGUUGGCGGGGUAAAGGCCCACCAAGGCGACGAUCCGUAGCUGGUCUGAGAGGAUGAUCAGCCACACUGGAACUGAGACACGGUCCAGACUCCUACGGGAGGCAGCAGUGGGGAAUAUUGGACAAUGGGCGCAAGCCUGAUCCAGCCAUGCCGCGUGUGUGAAGAAGGCCUCGGUUG
rnacentral:rRNA from 1 species